rnacentral:lncRNA from 1 species
AUACUCAUUUGAGCAAGAAAAUACUUCAAACUUGUGUUCAACAAAGAUCCAAAAACCAGAUAGUUCAGAAGUCUCUAUCUUAAAAUUUUAAGAGGAGAACAACCUAGAAACUUCAAGAGAAGAACGCAAGUAUCUAAGAUGUCAUCUAACAUAAAUAUGACAUCUCGAUUUGUAUGUUAUUAAGUUUUGUUUUGUAAACUAUGCAGAUGUUAAUUAAAAUUUGUUCAGUUUUACAAUAAGAUAGAUAUAAAGUUGAAGAAUUGUUAAGUACGUAGUCAUGUAUAAUCAAAACAAAUAUAAAGCAAUGGUAUUAUGUUUGUAACUUUGAAGUGUUUGUUAUUGGUAUUGGGAAUACAUGCAUGUCAAUUUUCAUGAAAAAUCGGAAUUUCAACAAUUUAAUUUCACAAAACUACUAGCAUGCCCAAUUCAAAUUAUCCAAUACCUCCAUUUUAACGUCAUAGUUUUCAAAUAAAAUUAUAGUUAUUUAACCUGUCACAGGUUGAAUU